GAUGAACGCUGGCGGCGUGCCUAAUACAUGCAAGUCGAGCGAACAGAUAAGGAGCUUGCUCCUUUGACGUUAGCGGCGGACGGGUGAGUAACACGUGGAUAACCUACCUAUAAGACUGGGAUAACUUCGGGAAACCGGAGCUAAUACCGGAUAACAUAUUGAACCGCAUGGUUCAAUAGUGAAAGGCGGCUUUGCUGUCACUUAUGGAUGGAUCCGCGCCGUAUUAGCUAGUUGGUAAGGUAACGGCUUACCAAGGCAACGAUACGUAGCCGACCUGAGAGGGUGAUCGGCCACACUGGAACUGAGACACGGUCCAGACUCCUACGGGAGGCAGCAGUAGGGAAUCUUCCGCAAUGGGCGAAAGCCUGACGGAGCAACGCCGCGUGAGUGAUGAAGGCCUUCGGAUCGUAAAACUCUGUUAUCAGGGAAGAACAAAUGUGUAAGUAACUGUGCACAUCUUGACGGUACCUGAUCAGAAAGCCACGGCUAACUACGUGCCAGCAGCCGCCGUAAUAC
rnacentral:rRNA from 1 species